rnacentral:misc_RNA from 1 species
AUGACGUCGCGCGAAUCGACGACGCCGCGGGUCAUGCCUUCGAGGUGGUGCUCGAACGAGAGCCACUCGGCCACGCUGGUCACGACGCCCGUCGGCAUGAACGGGAGGAACCAGCCCACGAGGAACGCCAGCGCGAAGCAGAUCGAGGC